rnacentral:lncRNA from 1 species
GGUUAUAGUAUUUAAUCCAACGGUUAGAAAUAAUAAAAAGAGUUGAUCCAAAGGCUAAAAAACUGGUAGCAACAAUAGGAUUUUGCUACUAAUAGUAGCCCAGUCCAACUCUCUCUCUCUCUCUCUCUCUCUCUCUCUCUCUCUCUAUAUAUAUAUAUAUAGCAACGGUACUGUGCUAUUAGGAGUACAGCAACCCUUGUACUCCUAACUUUCUAACCACCGAUCAAGUUUGAUGGGUGGUUGGAAUGAGAGCGGGAAGAGAUAUCGGGGAUAAAUUGGGUGUCUCAAUUUCUCUUAUCCAUGAAUUUCUCUCAAAUAUCUCUUUCCUCUCUCAUUCGAACCACCCAUCAAGUUCGAAAGUUAGGAGCAUAAGGGCUGUUCUGCUCCUAAUAGCACGGUAACCCUACUAUAUAGAGCUAGGCUACUAUACUAUCUAUAGUACCGGAGCUCCGGUACUAUAGUGUUGUUUUCGAUCUUCGGGCGUUCAAAUCAACGAUCCAAACCGUUAAAAUUGAUCUAGGGUAUUUAAAGUUUUUAGAAAUAAAAUUUUUUAUUUUUUCGACAUAGUUUACUUUAUGAUCAAACCAUUUCAAAAUUGUCAAUUUUCAAUGGCUAUUAUGACGAGUUUGGAGUUUAACGGUGUAGAAGAAUCUAAAUUUUUUAAAAUUUUGAUAGAAAAUAUUUUAAACUAUAUAGAUUAAGGUGAACAUGCUUGAUCUUGAAUUUAAAAGUCCUAUGCUUAAAUUUUAAAGAGUAUUCAAUUUCCACCGUCCAUUUUGACAUAAUUUAUUUACUAAAUAAACUAUAUCGAAAAAAACUAAAAUUUUAUUCUUAAGAAUUUCAUAUACCCUAUAUCAUAUUUAACGGUGUGGGUCAUUGAUUUGAACGCCCUAAGAUCGAAAACAACACUAUAGUACCGGAGCUCCGGUACUAUAGAUAG